CAGCAGCCGCGGUAAUUCCAGCUCCAAUAGCGUAUAUUAAAGUUGUUGCAGUUAAAAAGCUCGUAGUUGAACCUUGGGUCUGGCUGGCCGGUCCGCCUCACCGCGAGUACUGGUCCGGCUGGACCUUUCCUUCUGGGGAAUCUCAUGGCCUUCACUGGCUGUGGGGGGAACCAGGACUUUUACUGUGAAAAAAUUAGAGUGUUUAAAGCAGGCAAU
rnacentral:rRNA from 1 species